AAAAAAAGAGCUGAAGAAAUGGUGAUUUGAGCACCUAUGAUUUCUCAUAGUUGUUUUUUGAGGAAAGAUCAAGACAGUUGAAAAUGGCUAUUCAUAUUAUGGAAACUUUUUCUCACAGAGCUUGAUAAUCAGGUAAAAUGCUGGAAGAUUAUUUGAUGUAUGAUAACAACAAGAGAUCCCAAGCAUCAAUUUAUUUUAAAAUUCUGGAAAAGAAUGCAUUUGACCCAAUUUUUGAAUAUUUAUUUUUUGUUUUUACUGUUAAAUAUUCUUCCCAAACACAAUUAGAUUUUAAUUCUCUACAGAAAUUUAUGUAUAAUAUAGAAUGUAAAGUGACAUAUUAAUCACUUAGAAUUUGGUCGGAAAUCAUAAAGUAUUUAAUAGGCAUAAUCUAGAAACCAAAUGUAGAUCAAAUAUACCCAGAAUUACAAAAAACCUUGACCUACAUUAAGGUGACUUUCCCUUGCUUAUGAAAUGAAAUAGGGUUUAAGAUCCUACUUUUCUGUGUUAAUAUGGUGAUUCUGCCCUACAACCUACUCUUAUAUCAAAUAUUUCAACUGUCAAGGGUUGUUUAAAGGGAACCCAGGAGGGCCGAAUGGUUAACACACGCACAUUGGAUCAGAAGGUCUGUCAUUGAGUCAGAUAAUUCAAUUGUCAAGGGUUCUUUAAAGUAAACGCAGUGGGGGUAGUUUCAAUUCCGGGCUUAUACCCAAUUAUCCCUUGCCAUGUCCUACACUACUGACGUGUGGGAACUAUGUCGGAAAAUCCAAUUGAAAUUUCUCGGCCAAUGCCUUAUACUCACUGAACCACAGUGACUCCUCCUUGCUUUUGACUUGUGAUUAUUUAUAUAUAUUUUGUACAUAUUAUUUAAUGUUUGCGAUUUUCUCUGAUAUUUUUUUAUUUUUCAAUCCUGUAAUCUUGAUGCUUUGCUCCUUUUAUGUACAAAAUAUUCAUUUUGUUUGUUGUUUUUUUUAAUGAGGAAAAGGUUCUACAUCAUUUUAUUACUCCUGCAAAAUAGUGCAUUUUUCUUUUGUUAGUUUUCUGUGUAUGCUAGUUAUUUCUAGAUGCCUCACAAAUCACUUGUAAUAUGACUUUGUAGCACUUUUCAGUUUCUGAAAGUAUUUCAAUUUAGUGCAUAAUUAAUCUAAUUAGGGCUUGGUUUGGAUGUUAUUAAAUUUAGAUAUAUUUGAAUUAUAUAUUUUUAUAUUUUUGGGGUAU